GGGUUGUGAGGUUAAGCGACUAAGCGUACACGGUGGAUGCCCUGGCAGUCAGAGGCGAUGAAGGGCGUGCUAAUCUGCGAUAAGCGCCGGUAAGGUGAUAUGAACCGUUAUAACCGGCGAUACCCGAAUGGGGAAACCCAGUGUGAUUCGUCACACUAUCAUUAACUGAAUCCAUAGGUUAAUGAGGCGAACCGGGGGAACUGAAACAUCUAAGUACCCCGAGGAAAAGAAAUCAACCGAGAUUCCCCCAGUAGCGGCGAGCGAACGGGGAGGAGCCCAGAGCCUGAAUCAGCAUGUGUGUUAGUGGAAGCGUCUGGAAAGGCGCGCGAUACAGGGUGACAGCCCCGUACACAAAAGCGCAUGUGCUGUGAGCUCGAUGAGUAGGGCGGGACACGUGGUAUCCUGUCUGAAUAUGGGGGGACCAUCCUCCAAGGCUAAAUACUCCUGACUGACCGAUAGUGAACCAGUACCGUGAGGGAAAGGCGAAAAGAACCCCGGCGAGGGGAGUGAAAAAGAACCUGAAACCGUGUACGUACAAGCAGUGGGAGCCUCUUUUAUGGGGUGACUGCGUACCUUUUGUAUAAUGGGUCAGCGACUUAUAUUCUGUAGCAAGGUUAACCGUAUAGGGGAGCCGGAGGGAAACCGAGUCUUAAUUGGGCGUUAAGUUGCAGGGUAUAGACCCGAAACCCGGUGAUCUAGCCAUGGGCAGGUUGAAGGUUGGGUAACACUAACUGGAGGACCGAACCGACUAAUGUUGAAAAAUUAGCGGAUGACCUGUGGCUGGGGGUGAAAGGCCAAUCAAACCGGGAGAUAGCUGGUUCUCCCCGAAAGCUAUUUAGGUAGCGCCUCGUGAAUUCAUCUCCGGGGGUAGAGCACUGUUUCGGCUAGGGGGCCAUCCCGGCUUACCAACCCGAUGCAAACUGCGAAUACCGGAGAAUGUUAUCACGGGAGACACACGGCGGGUGCUAACGUCCGUCGUGAAGAGGGAAACAACCCAGACCGCCAGCUAAGGUCCCAAAGUCAUGGUUAAGUGGGAAACGAUGUGGGAAGGCCCAGACAGCCAGGAUGUUGGCUUAGAAGCAGCCAUCAUUUAAAGAAAGCGUAAUAGCUCACUGGUCGAGUCGGCCUGCGCGGAAGAUGUAACGGGGCUAAACCAUGCACCGAAGCUGCGGCAGCGACGCUGAUGCGUUGUUGGGUAGGGGAGCGUUCUGUAAGCCUGCGAAGGUGGCCUGUGAGGGUUGCUGGAGGUAUCAGAAGUGCGAAUGCUGACAUAAGUAACGAUAAAGCGGGUGAAAAGCCCGCUCGCCGGAAGACCAAGGGUUCCUGUCCAACGUUAAUCGGGGCAGGGUGAGUCGACCCCUAAGGCGAGGCCGAAAGGCGUAGUCGAUGGGAAACGGGUUAAUAUUCCCGUACUUGGUGUUACUGCGAAGGGGGGACGGAGAAGGCUAUGUUGGCCGGGCGACGGUUGUCCCGGUUUAAGCGUGUAGGUGUGUGUUCCAGGUAAAUCCGGUUCACUUUAACACUGAGGCGUGACGACGAGGCACUACGGUGCUGAAGCAACAAAUGCCCUGCUUCCAGGAAAAGCCUCUAAGCAUCAGGUAACAUCAAAUCGUACCCCAAACCGACACAGGUGGUCAGGUAGAGAAUACCAAGGCGCUUGAGAGAACUCGGGUGAAGGAACUAGGCAAAAUGGUGCCGUAACUUCGGGAGAAGGCACGCUGACAUGUAGGUGAAGUGAUUUACUCAUGGAGCUGAAGUCAGUCGAAGAUACCAGCUGGCUGCAACUGUUUAUUAAAAACACAGCACUGUGCAAACACGAAAGUGGACGUAUACGGUGUGACGCCUGCCCGGUGCCGGAAGGUUAAUUGAUGGGGUCAGCGCAAGCGAAGCUCCUGAUCGAAGCCCCGGUAAACGGCGGCCGUAACUAUAACGGUCCUAAGGUAGCGAAAUUCCUUGUCGGGUAAGUUCCGACCUGCACGAAUGGCGUAAUGAUGGCCAGGCUGUCUCCACCCGAGACUCAGUGAAAUUGAACUCGCUGUGAAGAUGCAGUGUACCCGCGGCAAGACGGAAAGACCCCGUGAACCUUUACUAUAGCUUGACACUGAACAUUGAGCCUUGAUGUGUAGGAUAGGUGGGAGGCUUUGAAGUGUGGACGCCAGUCUGCAUGGAGCCGACCUUGAAAUACCACCCUUUAAUGUUUGAUGUUCUAACGUGGACCCGUUACCCGGGUUGCGGACAGUGUCUGGUGGGUAGUUUGACUGGGGCGGUCUCCUCCUAAAGAGUAACGGAGGAGCACGAAGGUUGGCUAAUCCUGGUCGGACAUCAGGAGGUUAGUGCAAUGGCAUAAGCCAGCUUGACUGCGAGCGUGACGGCGCGAGCAGGUGCGAAAGCAGGUCAUAGUGAUCCGGUGGUUCUGAAUGGAAGGGCCAUCGCUCAACGGAUAAAAGGUACUCCGGGGAUAACAGGCUGAUACCGCCCAAGAGUUCAUAUCGACGGCGGUGUUUGGCACCUCGAUGUCGGCUCAUCACAUCCUGGGGCUGAAGUAGGUCCCAAGGGUAUGGCUGUUCGCCAUUUAAAGUGGUACGCGAGCUGGGUUUAGAACGUCGUGAGACAGUUCGGUCCCUAUCUGCCGUGGGCGCUGGAGAACUGAGGGGGGCUGCUCCUAGUACGAGAGGACCGGAGUGGACGCAUCACUGGUGUUCGGGUUGUCAUGCCAAUGGCACUGCCCGGUAGCUAAAUGCGGAAGAGAUAAGUGCUGAAAGCAUCUAAGCACGAAACUUGCCCCGAGAUGAGUUCUCCCUGAGACUUAGAGUCUCCUGAAGGAACGUUGAAGACGACGACGUUGAUAGGCCGGGUGUGUAAGCGCAGCGAUGCGUUGAGCUAACCGGUACUAAUGAACCGUGAGGCUUAACCUUACAACGCCGAAG
rnacentral:rRNA from 1 species